GAAAAGAGCAAAUCUCUAACAGAAAGGAUUGUGUGUUUUCAUUUCUGCUCAGCACCCCCUAGUCCUUGAAGCUUCAGUCAACUCAAUGACUCAGCAGCACAGAUAGAUGCAUCCCUCUUCACAUUCCAGCUUGUUACACUGUAGGCAGGUUUCCAAAACAAGCUCUAGUGACAAGGAGCUAGGCAUUUUCAUGGAUUAUGAGAACUAAACCUACCAUGAAGAGUCAGUGAAGAGGAGGGAGGUAGGGUUUGGGUUCUCCUGACUCCCAGCUAAAUAAGCAGUGCUUUCAAGCAGGGCAGCAUCUACGAAGAGUGAGAGCUGAUACGAUUAACACAAUCUUCAUGUCCCUCUGUGAGACUUUUGCAUGAUGUGAAUUGGGUGGUACAGGAAAAUCAUGUACUUGCUCAUACCUGACUGCUCAGUGGGAAAAGGCUCAGUGGGAAAAGAAAAGGAAGGGAGGCACCAGGUGUGUUAUAUACCUUAACCCAUUUAAUCUUUUGUUUUUUUUGUUUUUGUUUUUUUGAGAUGGAGUCUCACUCUGUAGCCCAAGUUGGAGUGCUAUGGUGCGAGUAGCUAGGACCACAGGCGUGCGCCACCAAGCCCAGCUAAUUUUUUGUAUUUUAGUAGAGACAGGGUUUCACAUGUUGCCCAGGGUGGUCUCAAAAACUCCUGAGCUCAGG